rnacentral:rRNA from 1 species
CCUACGGGAGGCAGCAGUGGGGAAUAUUGCACAAUGGGGGGAACCCUGAUGCAGCAACGCCGCGUGGGUGAAGAAGUACUUCGGUAUGUAAAGCCCUGUCAGCAGGGAAGAAAAUGACGGUACCUGACCAAGAAGCCCCGGCUAACUACGUGCCAGCAGCCGCGGUAAUACGUAGGGGGCAAGCGUUAUCCGGAUUUACUGGGUGUCAAGGGAGCGUAGACGGCAAGGCAAGUCUGGAGUGAAAGCCCGGGGCUCAACCACGGGACUGCUUUGGAAACUGUGUUGCUGGAGUGCAGGAGGGGUCAGCGGCCUUCCUCGUGUAGCGGUGACAUGCGUAGAUCUUAGGCG